rnacentral:lncRNA from 1 species
ACAUUACCUCAAUGGAAACACACAUUACCUCAAUGAAACACACAUUACCUCAAUGGAAACACACAUUACCUCAAUGGAAACACACAUUACCUCAAUGGAAACACACUGACUGAGGAAGCAUUGCAGGGAACACACAUCCUAUGUUAUGUUACCUUGUAGAGAGCAUCUUUGAGGCUUUGUAAGGUGCUUCCCAGUUUGAGGCAGUAACAGAGCUGAACCAGUCCAUUAGGAUGAUGUAAUCUACGAACCCCCGUCUCCUUCCACGUCCUCUGGACGCAUCAGGUAGAUUGG